rnacentral:rRNA from 1 species
CUCGGCGACCAUAGCGCGGGGGAUCACCCGAUCCCAUUCCGAACUCGGUAGUUAAGCCCCGCAGCGCCGAUGGUACUGCCCUGGAAACGGUGUGGGAGAGUAGGUCGUCGCCGGAG